rnacentral:rRNA from 1 species
UACAGAGGUCUCAAGCGUUGUUCGGAUUCAUUGGGCGUAAAGGGUGCGUAGGUGGCGCCGUAAGUCAGGUGUGAAAUCUCGGGGCUCAACCCCGAAACUGCACUUGAUACUGCGGUGCUCGAGUACUGGAGAGGAGAUUGGAAUUUACGGUGUAGCAGUGAAAUGCGUAGAUAUCAGGAGGAACACCGGUGGCGAAGGCGGAUCUCUGGGCCUUACCUGACGCUCAGGUGCGAAAGCUAGGGGAGCGAACAGG